rnacentral:rRNA from 1 species
GACGAACGCUGGCGGCGUGCCUAAUACAUGCAAGUCGAGCGAGUCUGCCUUGAAGAUCGGAGUGCUUGCACUCUGUGAAACAAGAUACAGGCUAGCGGCGGACGGGUGAGUAACACUUGGGUAACCUGCCCAAGAGAUCGGGAUAACACCUGGAAACAGAUGCUAAUACCGGAUAACAACAGAUGAUGCCUAUCAACUGUUUAAAAGAUGGUUCUGCUAUCACUCUUGGAUGGACCUGCGGUGCAUUAGCUAGUUGGUAGGGUAACGGCCUACCAAGGCGAUGAUGCAUAGCCGAGUUGAGAGACUGAUCGGCCACAUUGGGACUGAGACACGGCCCAAACUCCUACGGGAGGCAGCAGUAGGGAAUCUUCCACAAUGGACGCAAGUCUGAUGGAGCAACGCCGCGUGAGUGAAGAAGGGUUUCGGCUCGUAAAGCUCUGUUGUUGGUGAAGAAGGACAGGGGUAGUAACUGACCUUUGUUUGACGGUAAUCAAUUAGAAAGACACGGCUAACUACGUG